rnacentral:rRNA from 1 species
GGAUAACCUGCCCUUGGGACCGGCAUAACCCCGGGAAACUGGGGAUAAUUCCGGAUAACGCAUAUUUGCUGGAAUGCUUUAUGCGUCAAAAGGAUUCGUCUGCCCAAGGAUGGGUCUGCGGCCUAUCAGGUAGUAGUGGGUGUAAUGUACCUACUAGCCAGCGACGGGUACGGGUUGUGAGAGCAAGAGCCCGGAGAUGGAUUCUGAGACAUGAAUCCAGGCCCUACGGGGCGCAGCAGGCGCGAAAACUUUACAAUGCGGGAAACCGUGAUAAGGGGACACCGAGUGCCAGCAUCAUAUGCUGGCUGUCCGGAUGUGUAAAAUACAUCCGUUAGCAAGGGCCGGGCAAGACCGGUGCCAGCCGCCGCGGUAACACCGGCGGCCCGAGUGGUGAUCGUGAUUAUUGGGUCUAAAGGGUCCGUAGCCGGUUUGGUCAGUCCUCCGGGAAAUCUGAUAGCUCAACUAUUAGGCUUUCGGGGGAUACUGCCAGACUUGGAACCGGGAGAGGUAAGAGGUACUACAGGGGUAGGAGUGAAAUCUUGUAAUCCCUGUGGGACCACCUGUGGCGAAGGCGUCUUACCAGAACGGGUUCGACGGUGAGGGACGAAAGCUGGGGGCACGAACCGGAUUAGAUACCCGGGUAGUCCCAGCCGUAAACGAUGCUCGCUAGGUGUCAGGCAUGGCGCGACCGUGUCUGGUGCCGCAGGGAAGCCGUGAGGCGAGCCACCUGGGAAGUACGGCCGCAAGGCUGAAAC